GGGCCCGCACAAGCGGUGGAGCAUGUGGCUUAAUUCGAGGCAACGCGAAGAACCUUACCUGGUCUUGACAUGCCCGUCAUAGUUUUCCGAAAGGAAUUCGUCAGUUCGGCUGGACGGUGCACAGGUGCUGCAUGGCUGUCGUCAGCUCGUGUCGUGAGAUGUUCGUUAAGUCCGGCAACGAGCGCAACCCUCGUUUCCAGUUGCCAGCGGGUAAUGCCGGGGACUCUGGAAAGACAAACCUCUUGUUGAGGUGGGAAGGUGGGGACGACGUCAAGUCAGUAUGGCCCUUACGACCAGGGCUGCACACGUGCUACAAUGCCCGGCACAAUGGGAUGCAAUAUCGCGAGAUUGAGCA
rnacentral:rRNA from 1 species